ACUCAUUCAUAUGUGUCUUUCUAAGAAUCCCAUAUUGCUUUUGGCUUAGUGGAGCAUUUAAUUUCUGCUUUCUUGACAGAAAGGAGAAGGUACUCUACCACAAGAGCUUCUUCGAGCUAUUGUUCCACCGUCUCUUGAGUUGCAGCAGCAGCCGGCACAGCAGCAAUUUCUUCCUGCAGCAGUAAAUAAUCAGGAUAGAGUUUCUGGGAAGAUUGCAGAAGACCAGUUGAGACAUUUGGAAUCUAAUGGAAAGGAUGCACAAGCUGUGUCAUCAUCAAAUGUUCAAAGCUUACCAAAAGAAGAAGCUUAUGCUGGGGAUGAUAAAGCAGCUGUGUCACCAGUUGGGCAGGGUAUGUCGGCUGUGACAAAGGAACCUGCACCUGUGGUAGUACCAGGAAAAGAAGAGCAGCAGGCCCCUGUAUCUUCAGUUAAGUCAGACCAGGAAGUAGAAUGUGGUCUUCUGCGAACUCAACAACAAAGUGAUUUCCCAGCUGAUAGAGGAAAGUCUGUUGCACCUCAGGUUUCUGCAUGUGACGCAGUUCAAGUUAAGAAGCCAGCACAAGCAACUACUGCCCUCCAGCCAAAAGAUGUUGGCGCUGCCAGAAAGUAUCAUGGACCACUAUUUGAUUUUCCCUUUUUCACUAGAAAACAUGACUCUGUUGGGUCGACAGCAAUGGUUAAUAGUAGUAAUAAUCUAACAUUGGCAUAUGAUGUCAAAGAUCUACUUUCUGAGGAAGGCUUGGAAGUUCUCCAAAAGAAAAGAUCAGAAAAUUUGAAGAAGAUUAGUGGCAUAUUGGCAGUUAAUUUAGAGAGAAAAAGAAUCAGGCCAGAUCUUGUUCUGCGGUUGCAGAUUGAACAAAAAAAGCUUAGACUUUUAGAUCUACAGUCACGUUUAAGGGAUGAAGUUGACCAACAACAGCAGGAGAUUAUGGCAAUGCCUGACAGACAAUAUAGGAAGUUUGUCCGGCUGUGUGAGCGUCAGCGUGUUGAACUGAUGAGACAAGUACAAACAUCUCAGAAGGCCAUGAGAGAGAAGCAAUUAAAAUCCAUCUCACAGUGGCGUAAAAAGCUUCUUGAGGCUCAUUGGGCCAUCCGUGAUGCACGGACUGCCCGGAAUCGGGGAGUUGCCAAAUACCAUGAGAGAAUUUUGAGGGAGUUCUCGAAGAGAAAGGAUGAUGAUCGGAACAAAAGGAUGGAAGCCUUGAAGAAUAAUGAUGUUGAGAGGUAUAGGGAGAUGUUGCUAGAGCAGCAGACUAGUAUCCCGGGUGAUGAAGAAUCCCAUAUUGCUUUUGGCUUAGUGGAGCAUUUAAUUUCUGCUUUCUUGACAGAAAGGAGAAGGUACUCUACCACAAGAGCUUCUUCGAGCUAUUGUUCCACCGUCUCUUGAGUUGCAGCAGCAGCCGGCACAGCAGCAAUUUCUUCCUGCAGCAGUAAAUAAUCAGGAUAGAGUUUCUGGGAAGAUUGCAGAAGACCAGUUGAGACAUUUGGAAUCUAAUGGAAAGGAUGCACAAGCUGUGUCAUCAUCAAAUGUUCAAAGCUUACCAAAAGAAGAAGCUUAUGCUGGGGAUGAUAAAGCAGCUGUGUCACCAGUUGGGCAGGGUAUGUCGGCUGUGACAAAGGAACCUGCACCUGUGGUAGUACCAGGAAAAGAAGAGCAGCAGGCCCCUGUAUCUUCAGUUAAGUCAGACCAGGAAGUAGAAUGUGGUCUUCUGCGAACUCAACAACAAAGUGAUUUCCCAGCUGAUAGAGGAAAGUCUGUUGCACCUCAGGUUUCUGCAUGUGACGCAGUUCAAGUUAAGAAGCCAGCACAAGCAACUACUGCCCUCCAGCCAAAAGAUGUUGGCGCUGCCAGAAAGUAUCAUGGACCACUAUUUGAUUUUCCCUUUUUCACUAGAAAACAUGACUCUGUUG
rnacentral:lncRNA from 1 species